GACAGAGGGUGCAAACGUUGUUCGGAAUUACUGGGCGUAAAGAGCGCGCAGGCGGUCGUUCAAGUCGAGUGUGAAAGCCCCCGGCUCAACUGGGGAGGGUCACUCGAUACUGAUCGACUUGAAGGCAGGAGAGGGAAGCGGAAUUCCCGGUGUAGUGGUGAAAUGCGCAGAUAUCAGGAGGAACACCGGUGGCGAAGGCAGGUCUCUGGGCUGACACUGACGCUCAUGCACGAAAGCGUGGGGAGCAAACAGG
rnacentral:rRNA from 1 species